rnacentral:lncRNA from 1 species
UAAACACCAAGAACCCUAACCCCAAACUAAUGAACCCUAACAAACCUUCAUCCUAACCUAGUAUAUACAUUCAUACCUUCAUCAUGUUCAUUAUGAACAGGAUGAACCUUCACCUUCAACCUCGCCCUCAAACCCUAAUCUACCCAGAACCACGUCUAUCUUACCCAAAUCUACAUUAAACCACCCCAAAACCUUAGAUCGUAACCUUUUUAAAGCUAAUCCAUUCUCAAAACAACAAAAU